rnacentral:tRNA from 1 species
GGGGGCGUAGCUCAGCGGAAGAGCGCUCGCCUUACAAGCGAGAGGUCACUGGUUCGAUCCCAGUCGCCCCCA